rnacentral:lncRNA from 1 species
UGACUGUUUUGAGCCCAGCAGAAAAAGUUAUCUACCUCAUAUUCUACCAUGCCAUCUUUGUGUUUUUUGCCUGGACCUACUGGAAGUCUAUCUUUACACUCCCACAGCAGCCAAACCAGAAGGUAAGAAUAUUGGUUACUUCAUAAGGGAUAAGAACAGAGGAAAGUAGAGAUGCUAAUAAAGGAAGUAGACAAAAAUAGAAGUAAAUAAACUUACAUUACAAAAGAAAAUCAAGGUAAUCUCUCCUUCCCUCCCUCCCUCCCUCUUUCCCCCACCUGCUUGCUUGCUUGCUUGCUGGCUGGCUUGCUUGCUUGCUUGCUUUUCUUU